AUUUUGCACAAUGGCCGAAAGGCUGAUGCAGCAACGCCGCGUGAGUGAAGAAGGCCUUCGGGUUGUAAAGCUCUGUUGCCCGUGACGAAGUGCAUCCUCAGGAAAUGGGGGAUGUUUGACGGUAGCGGGAGAGGAAGCCCCGGCUAACUACGUGCCAGCAGCCGCGGUAAUACGUAGGGGGCGAGCGUUGUCCGGAUUUAUGGGGCGUAAAGGGCGUGUAGGCGGUCCUGUAAGUCAGGGGUGAAAACUCGAGGCUCAACCUCGAGACUGCCUCUGAAACUGUGGGACUUGAGUGCUCUAGAGGGUAGUGGAAUUGCCGGUGUAGCAGUGAAAUGCGUAGAGAUCGGCAGGAACACCAGUGGCGAAGGCGACUGCCUGGGGAGCAACUGACGCUGAGGCGCGAAAGCUGGGGGAGCAAACGGG
rnacentral:rRNA from 1 species